UACAGAGGUAGCAAGCGUUGUUCGGAAUUACUGGGCGUAAAGGGCGUGUAGGCGGCUGGAUAAGUGGGAUGUUAAAUCCCCCGGCUCAACCGGGGACCUGCAUCUCAUACUGUUCAGCUCGAGCACAUCGAGAGGAGACUGGAAUUCCCGGAUGUAGCGGUGAAAUGCGUAGAUAUCAGAAGGAACAUCAGUGGCGAAAGCGGCUUCCUGGUCCGAG
rnacentral:rRNA from 1 species